rnacentral:tRNA from 1 species
ACUAUAUUGACAGAAUAUAAAUGUAUUAAAUUUAGGAUUUAAGUAAGUAUUAAUUAAUACAUAUAGUU